rnacentral:lncRNA from 1 species
UUGUAUUUUGGUCCUAGGAUUUUGCUAUGGAGACCAGAGUACAGUUGAGGUAGUUGGGCUUGGAGAAUGUGCAGACUGUGAGAAGAACAAUAUUAAAACUAGUCAGGCUUUCUCAGGUACUUUGUCUGCUCAUACGUAGUACAGCACAUAUUAGUUUUUAUGAAUUUACUAACAAGUAUUAGUCAUUCAAGAGGACUGGUUUGGUUUUGCAAUUCAAAAAGGGUUAGCGGCACGACUUGUUGCCGGUUUGUCUUCCAUUCAAGUGUAAUUAUCCUAUGUAUAUAUAUUUAUAAACAACUAAUCAUAUGUUUUGUAGUGGUAAUUAAUACGUAUGUCGCAGCUAAAAAAAAAAUUAGCCACAAAUAUUUUACUACAUAUAUUACAAGUUCUAAGACACUUUUUUCUUUGGUAACUAUGUUAUUGGUGCGAAGUAUCCACCAACUUUGUUGAUAAAUAAUCUCUGUCGAGGAAUCUGUUUGACCAUCUUUAGUGAGGUCUCUCCUUCCAACCACAUUUUUUCUAUCCAUAAAGUUCGAACUUGAGACUCUAUUUAAAAGAUCUUAGUCAAGUUCUACUCGGACCAAUAGUAACUUUGAAUCCAAUAAUAAAGAUUGUUUUAGUAAAAAAGUACAAUUAACAAAGUUAUUCUUACAUUAGUCCUUCGAAGUGUGAAUAAUGCAUAGAGUAUUGCACAGGGCCUACAAUCACUUUUAUCAAUAGUCUCUAAAUAGUGGUUUUAUUUUGCAAAGUAACUUGUUUGUAAACAAUCUUGUGCAUAACUUUAUGCAGGACUACAUGUAACAAUAGAUUGCAAGGAAGCAAAUGGACAUUUUAAAACAAGAGGUUUUGGUGAGCUUGAUAAAAAUGGAAACUUCAAAGUAUCACUACCUCAAGACAUAGUAAAAGAAGGUGAAUUAAAAGAAGAAUGUUAUGCUCAACUACAUAGUGCAACAGCUACACCUUGUCCUGCUCAUGAUGGCCUACAAAACUCAAAAAUUGUCAUCAACUCAAAAUCUGAUGACAAACACACCCUUAGUACUGCUGCUGCUGGUAAACUCAAAUUUUCAUCAGCAACAUGUGCCUCAGAAUUUUUUUGGCAUUUCUAUAAACAUAAGCACCCUCUUUUUCCUCAUGUUCCUAUCUACAAGAAACCCUUUCCUCAUAUUCCUAUCUACAAACCUCCUUUUCCUCAUAUUCCUAUCUUCAAAAAACCUUUCCCUCCACAUGAGCCUAUCUAUGAAAAACCUCUUCCUCCGCCUACACCGGUCUAUGAAAAACCAGUUCCUCCGCCUACACCUGUCUAUGAAAAACCUCUUCCUCCGCCUACACCGGUCUAUGAGAAACCUCUUCCCCCGCCUACACCUGUCUAUGAGCCUCCACCAACUCCUGUAUAUCAUAAACCUCUUCCCCCACCUACGCCUGUCUAUGAGAAACCUCUUCCUCCACCUACACCUGUAUAUCAUAAACCACAUCCACCACCGGCUCCGGUCAAAGGUUGUCCACCAAAGGUUGAACACCCAAUUCUACCACCUGCUCCAGUAUACAAACCUCCUCCAGUUCCAAAGCCACAACCAC